rnacentral:rRNA from 1 species
GACGAACGCUGGCGGCGUGCUUAACACAUGCAAGUCGACGCGCGGCGAACGGGUGAGUAACGCGAGAGUAACCUGCCCUCUUUUUGGGAUAAGCAUUGGAAACGGGGACCAAUGCCGAAUACAGGGGGAUGGGCUCGCGGCCUAUCAGCUUGUUUGUGGGGUGAUGGGCUACCAAGGCGGUGACUGGUAGCCGGCCUGAGAGGGUGACCGGCCACAUUGCGACUGAGAUACGGCCCAGACUCCUACGGGGGGGAGCAGGUGGGGCUAUUGCACAAUGGGCGAAAGCCUGAUGCAGCGACGCCGCGUGGGGGAUGCAGGCUUUAGGGUUGUAAACCUCUUUCGCUAUCUAACGGGUAGGUGGAGAAGAAGCGCCGGCUAACUACGUGCCAGCAGCCGCGGUAAUUC